rnacentral:rRNA from 1 species
CCAAUAGCGUAUAUUAAAGUUGUUGCAGUUAAAAAGCUCGUAGUUGAAUUUCGGGAUCAAUAUGUCGGUCGUGCCUCCGGUACGUACUGGCGUUAUUGGUUUCUCCCUUCUGACGAACCACGAUGUCAUUAAUUUGGUGUCAUGGGGAAUCAGGACUGUUACUUUGAAAAAAUUAGAGUGUUUAAAGCAGGCUCACGCUUGAAUACAUUAGCAUGGAAUAAUGAAAUAGGACGUUUGAUUCUAUUUUGUUGGUUUCUAGGAUCGACGUAAUGAUUAAUAGGGAUAGUUGGGGGCAUUAGUAUUCAAUUGUCAGAGGUGAAAUUCUUGGAUUUAUUGAAGACUAACUACUGCGAAAGCAUUUGCCAAGGAUGUUUUCAUUAAUCAAGAACGAAAGUUAGGGGAUCGAAGACGAUCAGAUACCGUCGUAGUCUUAACCAUAAACUAUGCCGACUAGGGAUCGGAUGAUGUUAAUUUUUUAAUGACUCAUUCGGCGCCUUACG